ACUCACCGUUGGGCCCAUCUAAUCAGCGUCCGACUCUACCGACCGCACCGGCCGACAACGUCCGACCGAAGGUAUAUCGGUCGGGAAGACCCUUCCCAUUUCCGACUGACCGAACGACGCGGCCCGACCCCCACUUUGGCAACGCAUCAGACUGACCAUCGGGGGUGGUGGCAGAUGUCCGAUCCCCGCGAUGCGCUGCUCCAGCC
rnacentral:lncRNA from 1 species